GGGUUGUGAGGUUAAGCGACUAAGCGUACACGGUGGAUGCCCUGGCAGUCAGAGGCGAUGAAGGACGUGCUAAUCUGCGAAAAGCGCCGGCGAGGUGAUAUGAACCUUUGACCCGGCGAUGUCCGAAUGGGGAAACCCAGUGUGAUUCGUCACACUAUCGUUAACUGAAUACAUAGGUUAACGAGGCGAACCGGGGGAACUGAAACAUCUAAGUACCCCGAGGAAAAGAAAUCAACCGAGAUUCCCCCAGUAGCGGCGAGCGAACGGGGAGCAGCCCAGAGUCUGAAUCAGCUUGUGUGUUAGUGGAAGCGUCUGGAAAGUCGCACGGUACAGGGUGACAGUCCCGUACACGAAAGCACACAGGUUGUGAACUCGAAGAGUAGGGCGGGACACGUGGUAUCCUGUCUGAAUAUGGGGGGACCAUCCUCCAAGGCUAAAUACUCCUGACUGACCGAUAGUGAACCAGUACCGUGAGGGAAAGGCGAAAAGAACCCCGGCGAGGGGAGUGAAAAAGAACCUGAAACCGUGUACGUACAAGCAGUGGGAGCACCUUCGUGGUGUGACUGCGUACCUUUUGUAUAAUGGGUCAGCGACUUAUAUUCUGUAGCAAGGUUAACCGUAUAGGGGAGCCGAAGGGAAACCGAGUCUUAACUGGGCGUUAAGUUGCAGGGUAUAGACCCGAAACCCGGUGAUCUAGCCAUGGGCAGGUUGAAGGUUGGGUAACACUAACUGGAGGACCGAACCGACUAAUGUUGAAAAAUUAGCGGAUGACUUGUGGCUGGGGGUGAAAGGCCAAUCAAACCGGGAGAUAGCUGGUUCUCCCCGAAAGCUAUUUAGGUAGCGCCUCGUGAACUCAUCUUCGGGGGUAGAGCACUGUUUCGGCUAGGGGGCCAUCCCGGCUUACCAACCCGAUGCAAACUACGAAUACCGAAGAAUGUUAUCACGGGAGACACACGGCGGGUGCUAACGUCCGUCGUGAAGAGGGAAACAACCCAGACCGCCAGCUAAGGUCCCAAAGUCAUGGUUAAGUGGGAAACGAUGUGGGAAGGCACAGACAGCCAGGAUGUUGGCUUAGAAGCAGCCAUCAUUUAAAGAAAGCGUAAUAGCUCACUGGUCGAGUCGGCCUGCGCGGAAGAUGUAACGGGGCUAAACCAUGCACCGAAGCUGCGGCAGCGACGCUUAGGCGUUGUUGGGUAGGGGAGCGUUCUGUAAGCCGUUGAAGGUGUGCUGUGAGGCAUGCUGGAGGUAUCAGAAGUGCGAAUGCUGACAUAAGUAACGAUAAAGCGGGUGAAAAGCCCGCUCGCCGGAAGACCAAGGGUUCCUGUCCAACGUUAAUCGGGGCAGGGUGAGUCGACCCCUAAGGCGAGGCCGAAAGGCGUAGUCGAUGGGAAACAGGUUAAUAUUCCUGUACUUGGUGUUACUGCGAAGGGGGGACGGAGAAGGCUAUGUUAGCCGGGCGACGGUUGUCCCGGUUUAAGCAUGUAGGCGGAGGUUCCAGGUAAAUCCGGUACCUUUUAACGCUGAGGUGUGAUGACGAGGCACUACGGUGCUGAAGUAACAAAUGCCCUGCUUCCAGGAAAAGCCUCUAAGCAUCAGGUAACACGAAAUCGUACCCCAAACCGACACAGGUGGUCAGGUAGAGAAUACCAAGGCGCUUGAGAGAACUCGGGUGAAGGAACUAGGCAAAAUGGUGCCGUAACUUCGGGAGAAGGCACGCUGAUAUGUAGGUGAAGCCCCUGCGGGUGGAGCUGAAAUCAGUCGAAGAUACCAGCUGGCUGCAACUGUUUAUUAAAAACACAGCACUGUGCAAACACGAAAGUGGACGUAUACGGUGUGACGCCUGCCCGGUGCCGGAAGGUUAAUUGAUGGGGUUAGCGGCAACGCGAAGCUCUUGAUCGAAGCCCCGGUAAACGGCGGCCGUAACUAUAACGGUCCUAAGGUAGCGAAAUUCCUUGUCGGGUAAGUUCCGACCUGCACGAAUGGCGUAAUGAUGGCCAGGCUGUCUCCACCCGAGACUCAGUGAAAUUGAACUCGCUGUGAAGAUGCAGUGUACCCGCGGCAAGACGGAAAGACCCCGUGAACCUUUACUAUAGCUUGACACUGAACACUGGUCCUUGAUGUGUAGGAUAGGUGGGAGGCUUUGAAGCGUGGACGCCAGUCUGCGUGGAGCCGUCCUUGAAAUACCACCCUUUAAUGGCUGGUGUUCUAACGUAGACCCGUGAUCCGGGUUGCGGACAGUGUCUGGUGGGUAGUUUGACUGGGGCGGUCUCCUCCCAAAGAGUAACGGAGGAGCACGAAGGUUAGCUAAUCCUGGUCGGACAUCAGGAGGUUAGUGCAAUGGCAUAAGCUAGCUUGACUGCGAGAGUGACGGCUCGAGCAGGUGCGAAAGCAGGUCAUAGUGAUCCGGUGGUUCUGAAUGGAAGGGCCAUCGCUCAACGGAUAAAAGGUACUCCGGGGAUAACAGGCUGAUACCGCCCAAGAGUUCAUAUCGACGGCGGUGUUUGGCACCUCGAUGUCGGCUCAUCACAUCCUGGGGCUGAAGUAGGUCCCAAGGGUAUGGCUGUUCGCCAUUUAAAGUGGUACGCGAGCUGGGUUUAGAACGUCGUGAGACAGUUCGGUCCCUAUCUGCCGUGGGCGCUGGAGAAUUGAGGGGGGCUGCUCCUAGUACGAGAGGACCGGAGUGGACGCAUCACUGGUGUUCGGGUUGUCAUGCCAAUGGCACUGCCCGGUAGCUAAAUGCGGAAAAGAUAAGUGCUGAAAGCAUCUAAGCACGAAACUUGCCCCGAGAUGAGUUCUCCCUGACCCUUUAAGGGUCCUGAAGGAACGUUGAAGACGACGACGUUGAUAGGUCGGGUGUGUAAGCGCAGCGAUGCGUUGAGCUAACCGAUACUAAUGAACCGUGAGGCUUAACCUUACAACGCCGAAGCUGUU
rnacentral:rRNA from 1 species